UUGGAAGCAGUAUAGUAGAGAAAUUCUCUUCCUUUCUCCUUUCCAACGUCCCCUACCACAAGUCACUAAAGUCUGAAUGUUUUUCAGUUCAUUGCUACAAGUGGUGAGAAAAGCAUCAGUAUUUGCAAAUGCCAAAUGAUACAGCUUCAAUGGAGGAUAUACAAAGCAGUGAGGUAGCAGCGCUGCCUGGUGUGCAGUUGUCCUUGAAAACCAAUGGACUCAGUGGAGACUCCUGCAGACAAAAUGUCUGCCCUCCUCAGAGGGCUAAACUGGAGCACAUUGCAGUUCUCUGAGCUUGAAGGAAGUAGAUUGCCACAGUAUAUUGACCUUGGAUGCCAGCCAUGGCUGGGGCACAGGAAGCGCCCCAGCAGAGAAGCCACUCUCUUUUUGACUUCAGGGACAGGAUCUGCAUGAAGGAGAAACCCUGGGGGAAGCCAGUCACAGAUCAUGAGGAGACUCAAAAUGUCCUAUGGAGAGGUCCAUGUGGUCAUGAGCUGAGGCCUCUUGCCAACAGCCAGCACCAACUUGCCAGAUACGUGAAUAAGCCAUCUUGGAAGCAGAUCGUUCAGUGCCGUCAAGUCUUUGGUUGGCUGCAGCCCCAGAAGACAUCUUGACUACAAUCUCAUGAGCAAUCUGGACCCAGAACCACCAAAUUAAGUUGCUCCUUAAUUUCUGACCCAAGGAAAGUGUAAAAUAGUGAAGUUAUUGUUAUAUUAAGCUGCCAUAUUUUGGGCGUAAAUUGUUUUGCACCAAAAAAUAAUGAAUGUAGCAUAGAACAAGAGACUCAGAGUUAUCCUACCUAAGUAGAGGAGCUGGGGUAUUUAUACACCAAUACCCAUCUAUCAAUGGAUGAGAGCUGUUUCUAGGGUCUAUUAAUUCUCCAGCAGUUCCCUGUGGGCACAGAGGGCUUCAGUGGCCAGAAGAAGCCUGCAGGCAAAGAGAUCCAGAUGUCGGCAGUUGGAAGUCAGGCCUGGGUGUACCGAAAAGUAAGGGUGAGGGGAUAUGGGAUGGGUUGCUCACGGGACUUGCUAACUUGCAAACUCAGUUGAAAUUUCAUCUACAUCACUUCCCUCCUCCCAGGCAAGCUUGGAGUACCUACUCCUUCUUUAGGGCUUGGUCCCUCCAGGGUGGUUUUCUGGUAGAAGGAAGAGGAAAAGGACAAGCAUCUCUUUAUAUAACUGUGCCCAUCUCUGAUGUUCCCUUUGUUGGAUGGUGGUGGUUCUUGGGCCAGCAAUGACUGGUUGUUGAUGCCCUCUGUGGCAGGAGUUCAAAGGCUAGACCUCCUUGCAGUGUGCGUGUCUAGAUUUUCUGAAUGGCCCUGUGUCAAUUCCCUGAUGGAUAUUCACCUCUUCAACUUCCACUCAGCUUUCACUACUGCCUCCCUUUGACUGGUGGGCAGCCCUGUUGGGUGGAGUAGAGGCAAGAUAAGUCAAGUGCAGCCACUUUAGGUGAUGUUGCUUGACUUUUGGGGGAAUCACAUCAUCAGCCUCACCAAAAUGCUGAGGUGCAGGUUGUUCUGGGCUUUUCUCUGCCAUGUACCUCCUCUUCAGGAGUAUGCCCUGCUAGGGUGGACACAGGACACAGGGCAUUCCCAUCUUGCAGUAAUCUCAGAUCUUUACCACUGAUACAGAGCCCUUUCCAUUGUCUUCUAAAUGGGAACAGCACUCACACCUCUCGGGAGGAAUCAUUUCUCAUCCAGCACUACUUUCCAGUUGGUGACUCAGGUGUGCAUCCCAGCUUCUGUUUUUGGAGCAACAGAAAAAAGUCUUGCCAAGUACCCUGUAAUACAAAUAAAAUGCUUUCACAGUGCUGGGCAGUGGGUACUCCACGAAUGUUCAUUUCCUGCCUCUUCUCAGUGAUGACAAUGGAGGUUGCACAGGUGUGGUUGGCUUGAAGACAUGAGGUUUAAUACAAUAGGCUCAGAGAGAGGGAAAGAAAAGAGCUCAUGCAUUCUUGGCUCCUAGUGCAGAGCGUAGCAUGGAAUGGGUGCUGUAGGUAUUCACUGAAAGAAUGAAAAACAUAGCUGAUGUAGGAGUCUUUUCAACAGAAAGCAAAUGCAUAGAGGCACAGAGGUCCAUAGCGCCAUCCUCUGGGAAGACACAGGGUGGUGGCCUUACCCUGUUCAUCAGUGGCCAGCUCCUUCAGGCCAGGAACCUUUCCUUCCCAGCCUGGCUUCCGUUAUUGGGCACCAAGCCGCUGCCAUCCCACUUGCUUUUUUUUUCCCUGUAAAAUGUGGCCAUAGCCAAGUCCCUCACCAUACACCCUCCCUUCCAGAGGAAGGCUGCUCAGGCUCCCUCCCCGUUCCCUUUCUUCCUUCUUUUCUUGUUCCAUCCAUAUAUUUCUGUAUCUACUACAAAGGUCAGAAAAACAAAUCAAUGAAGAGAAGGACCCAAUAAUCCUAAGACCUGACUCAGGGAUGGGAGGUGGCGAGGGAAGCCACUCAAUAAAAUGAAAGAGAAUUAAAAAAUUCCCUGAACAAGGCACAGCGUGGGGUCCCGAUCAAAGGACCAGGCAGCUUUGGUCCUGUGUGCACGAGCUGGAUGCUCUGAGGCUGGGGGAGAGAUGGGCUUCCAGGCCUCGGUCUCCCUCCCUGUUUCCUUUCCAUCACACACACAAAAACACAUACACACACAAAAAAACACAUACGCACACAUUCAUUCUCUCUCUCUCGCUCGCUCUCUGUCUGUCUCUCUCUCUUCUUGGACCACCAUUUGUUAAGGAAACAUCUGACUAUGGAUUUCAGGAGUCUGGGAAGCAGAGGGAAGAAGACAUUGACAGCUUACUUAUUUCCCUGUAGAGGUCCCAUUUGCCAACGCUGCUCCCAAGAUCUCCACCCACUACAAGAGAAGUACCAGGUCAAGGGUAUUGAUAGUGACUGAGGAACAGAACGUUACAAAUCCCACCUGGAAUUUUCUGAACCUACCUUGAAAGAAGGUAUGAAAAUAAAAGCUGGUGGAUCUUAAAAGAGCUAAAUCAGCUUCUAAAGUCCCUUCUUUGUGAACAGCAGCUCUUCCAUGAAGUCCUUCCUGACACCUAUCACUCCCUAACCCCCACGGAGCACUCUUUCCUCAGAGCAUCCACUAUACUCCAGUACUCUUCUACCAGAGCACCGGGGUUGCAUUAUCAUUUCUCAUUAUUUGUCUGUCCCAUUCUAUUCUAGGAGGGUCGAGGGUAAAGCAGAUCAACAGCAGACUGCCUGAGCUCAAAUUGAGCCACCAGCCCUUACUGGCUGUGUCAUCUUGGACAAGUAACUCAACCUUAGUUUCCCCAUCUGUAAGCCUUUGUGGCUUUUCUCCUCCAGGUUCUAUAGCCUCUGUUCUUCUCACAGUUUUUCAUGUAACAUGGCUUCCAAAAACCCCAAAAAGGUUUUUUUAUUGUUUGUUUUUUGUUUUUUGUUUUUAGCAAGAACAGCAUCAUCAGAAUAAGACUAGAAGUUCCUCACUUUGGGAAGGCUCCCUUGGAUGUAUAUGUUCUAGCAUGUUUGCUAUCAAGGGACACAUCACUUUAUGCUUAUUGUGCAGAGCUAUAGAAAAUAUGUGGACUUCCAUAUAUUCCUAGGUCAGAGAAAUGGCAGCUGGAUCCAGGAAGAUGAGAAAUUUGAGCAGGCUUAGAAGUUGGCAGCCUACAACACAUUGAUUUGUGUCUUUUUUUUUUUUUUCAAGCCUACCUUUUCUUUGUCUUUUUCUGAUUUAUAAAGCUACAAAACCAAAUAUAAAUCUUGUAUUUGUAAGCCACUUUCCACAUUAUUCAUCUAAUAACCCUCUGUGUGGCAUACACAUUAUUUUUUCCAUAAACUGAAGCACCAUAGAGGGUGAGAAUGACUUGUCCAUUAUUUGGAUAUACAAUUUAUCUAUUCAUUCUUUUAUUGAUAGACAUUUCAGCUAUUUACACUUAGGGACUUUUAUAAAUAAAGUUA
rnacentral:lncRNA from 1 species